rnacentral:rRNA from 1 species
GUGCCAGCAGCCGCGGUAACACGGGGGGAGCAAGCGUUGUUCGGAAUCACUGGGCGUAAAGGGUGUCUAGGCGGUCAGGUAAGUGAGAUGUGAAAUGCCCCGGCUUACCCGGGGACCUGCAUCUCAUACUGCCUGGCUUGAGUAUGGGAGAGGAUGAGGGAAUUCCUGGUGUAGCGGUGAAAUGCGUAGAUAUCAGGAGGAACACCGGUGGCGAAAGCGCUCAUCUGGCCCAAUACUGACGCUGAAGCACGAAAGCUAGGGGAGCAAACGGGAUUAGAUACCCCUGUAGUCC